UAAGAAUUUAUUUAAUAUUUAAGAUUUGAUUAACGAUUGAUUUGGAUUGAUUUAGGAUCUAGGAUUUGAUAAAGAUUUGAUUAAGAUUUGGUUUUUGAUUUGAUUAAAAGAGGAUUUAUGAUUUGAUUAGGAUUUAUUUAAGAUUUGAUUAGGAUUGAGGAUUUUUCUAUGAUUUAAUUAGGAUUGAUCUACAAUUUAAGAUUUGAUUAGGAAUUAGGAUUUUAAUAAGAUUUGAUUAAGAUUGGUUUAGGAUUUUGGAUUUUAUUAGGAUUUAUUUAGAAUUUGACUAGGAUUUCAUUAAGGUUUGUUUAGAAUUUGAUUUAAAAUUUGAUUAGGAUUUAAGAUUUAUUUAGGAUUUUAUCAAGAUAUAGGACUUGACUAAGAUUUGAUUAGAGUUUGAUUUAGGUUUUUUCUAAGAUUUAGAAUUUAUUUAGGAUUUGAUUAGGAUUUAUUUAGGAUUUGGUUAAGUUUUAAGAUUUUUUUAGCAUUUGGUUAAUAUUUAAAAUUUUAUUAAAAUUUUUCUAGGAUUUGAUUUAAGCUUUCAUUAUGAUUUAGAAUUUUUUGAAGAUUUGAUUAAGAUUUGAUUAAGAUUUGAUUAAGAUUUG
rnacentral:lncRNA from 1 species